AACCAGCUUCUACCUGAGAACCGUUCUUCUUCUUCCACGGUUCCACCAGCGUGCGUCCCCUGUUUCUCCUUGUCUCUUGAUAUUUCCAAUCCUGCCCCAUGCUUGCUUCCGAAUUCCCAAUCUAGUGCAAACUGAAAAGCUCCCAAUUGACAGGUGUGAAGUCCACGAUGUUGGAUUUGGAGGAGAGCCGGCACUGAGGCAUCCGCACUUCUUCCUGUGGGCUUAUCCCAUGUGCCGUGUGGUCGUCAGAUCCGGAGAGCUCGAGCUUGGCCGCGUUGUCUGGAAAUUCCUCCUCGCCCGCUGCACCGGAAAUUCCGAGGAGGAGGUGAUUGGGAAAGGAUAGGUCCUGCAUACAUGUAUGUAUGUGAGGGCGAUGGAGCUAUUUUUAUCGUCCGCGUAUUUUUACCAUUUUUAUGGGAAGUAUGGAAGCUGUUGGAGGUAAGCCUUUUUUUCUUUUAGAAUAAUUUUAAGAAACUUUUAGAGUUGCUCACCGCGCAAAAAAAAUCAUCUGCAUGUCUCUGGAAAUCACAGACAUACUCAUCGGAAUAAUCCUGCACUAAACAUCACAUUCAAUAACCAAAUUAGGCAAUUAAUUAUUCGGCCAUACUAAUCAUCUGAGCCGAAUUAAACAAACCCAUUUACUAAUUAUCCGGCUAAAAACAAGCCAAACAUCUUGAUUUUCAAGAUUAUACCAUCAUUAGCUAAAUUGAACUCAAAAUCUGACCAAAUAUAUUACUUAAUCACAUUACCGUGUUUAUAAGCUAUUGAAGGUGUCAAAUUUGGCCAUCCAGUACUGCUUGACAACAGCGACGAGCCGAGAGUCCGAGACGAG
rnacentral:lncRNA from 1 species